UUUCAUGGGAGAAGCGCUAAACUUUACCUCAACAUUUAUGUAAAGUUAAAGCUGCACAGAUUCUGAGUCUUGAAAGUUUAUUUCAAAGAAAAGACAAUGCCUGUGCCACAUAUUUGACUUGGUUUUAUAAAUAUUACGAAGCUCCAGGAAAUAUGAGCAGGAUCUCAAAUAUAUUCAACAAGGGCAAUCAACAGCAAAGCCGAGGUUCUAUCCCCACAGUUGCUAUGGUUUUCAUGCUUGGAACAAUAAGUAAGAUACCUACUUAUAUGCCCAAUACUCAUCUAUAUGCAGAGGACGCAUCUCAACAGAAAUGAAUAAGAAGACAUAGUUUCUGUUCUUAAGAAGUUAACGGUAUUUAAGAAGAAGCUUCCAAUUUUUGUCUUUUGAGAUGGUUGCUCUUGGAACACAGAAAUAUGCUUUAAGAUGUCAAGCCUCCUCUGCUGAUGCUGUAUGGAGAACAGACAAGCUUUCCCAUCAAGCCCUAACCAAACUGCAGAACUGUGAAUAAAAUCAAUAAUUGUUAUGAAAAGGC
rnacentral:lncRNA from 1 species